GCUCCCGCCGUGGGCUAACCAUCCCCUGUGCUGGGGCUUCAGCAAACACACAGCCUGUGUCUGUGUCCUCUCUGUGCCUUGCUGCAGAGCUCGGAGCUCCUCCGCAGGGAAAACAAGCCCAGUGCUGGUCUGAAGAAGCUCAAGACCUGCAGGAAAGGAAAAAGCAGGAGCUGCCUGGUUCUUCCAUAUGGCAUCGACCUCCUUCCCAGCAUCCCGGGAUAACCCAAACAGGUUCAUCUCCACUACAGGUGGACCAAGACCAGAACCAGCCUCAUUUUCCUCUCCCUGCCUGAUAUCGAGGUGCAAAUGCAGAGAACAGCCAAAAAGAAGAGGCUGAGCAGGGAGUGCACACGGGCAAGUCGCUGCUGUCAUCAGGGCAGGGCCUUUAAUUGCUGCGUCUGUUCUGCCUGUGCCCGAAGAGCCGAUCCCAGGUGACUCCAACGGACAAUGCCAUUUAAAUCAAUUAUCUCCCCACUUGGAGCCAUCCAGCCUCUCCCUCCUUCACCGUGCAGCCACGAGCCCCAUCAUUUAUUCAUCCUCGGCUGCACUUAAACAUCUGCUCCGCUGCCACUGGAGUUUGGCAGAGCAUUAGCUUUAAAAUUUCAUGAAACGUAGUGCAGGUGGCAAAAUCAGGAAUUAGGGAUUAUAAUCACGGCGAAGCUGGGCUGGAGAGGCGGCCCCGGCUCCGUCGGCUCGGGAGGAGAGAGACGCCGGGAGCGCUCCUGGGAUUUAAAGCCCCUCCGGUGUGCAAAUCGCGGCUUUUUUUUCCCCAUUUUCCCAAAGGCUGCGGGGAUUUUUAUGUCCUCCCUGCUCCGGGGUGGAUGUUAAGUGAAGGGAACAUCUCACACUCGCUGCUCCUCAGGUUUUGUUGCUCUGUUGUUGCCGCCACAGAAUUCCUCUGGCUGGGGGGUUGUUUCCGAGGGGUGGUGUGUCCCCAGUCCCUGCUUUCACCGCGGAGCCAUAACCCUCCAAACCACGUUGGUUCUCCACAGCGGUUCCCUGUGUUUGUAGCAAACCAAGAGAGCUUUGGAAAGAAAAUAUUUGCUUUAGCAAUUCCUCUUUCA